CGUGUAGGCAGCAGUGAAGCCUGAACUCGAGUAGGGCCCAAGCCAGCCAGGAAGGAGGAGGCAGCCAGAGUGUUCUCUGCAGCAGAAGACCCCUUGCUGCCCUGCUUCACCCAGACCAGCAUUUGCCAGAAAAUGCUGAUACCAGCAGAAAGUUGUUAGUGUCUGUGCCAGCUGCUGAAGAUGUGGUAAGUCCACAGUUAAAGAAAACAGUUCAGAAAGAUAGUUUCAAGAAGAUGGCUGUAGUGUCAAAAAUCUGAAAUUGUAGAUCUGAAGAGUGCAACAUUCCAGCCAAAAUAUGUAUCCAACAUUCUGGAAAGACCAACAGCCUGCUGGAUCAUCCAAACCUUUCCUAGGCCUUUUCCAAACUUUCUGGCUGCGAGACCAUAGCAGGAAAGACCUUAUCUUCCAAAUUUUGGGGAAAGCAGGGCCCUUUCACUAGGCUCCCCAUCAGGGAAGCAGUUUCUUUCCCUCCUCUCUAGAAGACCUCUCUAAGGGUGUCUGAAGGCAUGUGCCAAAGGCAAAGGAUGUCUUUGUUAUUGUCCUUAGAGAUGGACAUGGCCAUGGCAUCAGGGGCUUUUCUGUAACUAAAUCAGGAUUAUAGCCUUUAUUUAUUUAAUCCAGAUGCAAUUUGGAGGUUUAUGGUGAUGAAUAGCCUCCAUAAAACCUUCCUCAGCCCCUCUCUAGCAGAACGCUAAGAGAAAGCUGUCGCCAUUUCAGCACCUAAACCGGAAGUGGCCCCAAUGUUCCUGGGCCACGGGGAAAGGGAGCCCUCCUAGGAGGCCCUGCAGCUAACUGACAGCUUGCUCUUCACUCUCCCCCUUCCUGCCUGUCCAAAGAAGAAGGCGGGGAGGGGGGCAUCUUCACUUUUUGUCCCGGGGCCCACUCCAAACUUGCUCUGCCCCUGAGUGGCAUGGCCCCAGCCUAUUUCAAUGUAGGUUGACAGAAUUUUGAAUCAUGCAUCUUGUAUGAACAUUUUAAUGACUUGAAUGGUUUAACAAAAGAGACUUCAUUAUAUGUCUUUGUACCCAUCAGCUGGUACAGCUCAAAGAUUUCACCUAGCUACCCUAUAUUCACCGUGUGGCCCCAUACUUUAAAUUGGGAAUGAUAUAGCUGGGUGGUUAGUUAUUCAGUGAGGGCUUUUGAUGAUCCAUUUUGUAGAUAGAAAUUGAGAACGCUCACAUGUUCUUUGACCAUGUGGUCUGAUUUGUUGAAGAUUUUGUAUCCACUACCCUUCUCCUCCUGGAAGGUACAACUGAUUAUUUGGCAUCAUUAGCCAUUGCUCUUUGGUUGGACUGCCAUUUUGUUUUAUUGCAAAACCUUGCCCCGCUAACUUUCACUCCUUGUUGAGAUUUAUACUUUAAUAAAGAAUUAAGAAAUCCAUAUAUCCUCUCUCUUCCACCAUAAGGAUUAUGUGUGUCUUCAGGACUCUGAAUAGUUAAUUCUCAAUAUUUAGGGGGAAUGUGUAUUUUGAUUUAUAGUAGUCUCCACCCUAAUUAACUCUUGUUUCUUGUUCAGAUUUAUUUUGGACACACAGAAUCAAGGAACUGUAUACUCUCAUUUCCUAUCCCCAGUUGGAAUUAUUUCAAGAUUUUGUAACGUUAACUCUUUUUAGCUUGAUUUUUAUUUUGAUUUAUAGUAAGACUGUCUAGUUAAUUCUUGUUCCCCAUUUAGAUUUAGAUUUAUUUCAAGCACACAGAAUCAAGAGACUUGACAUUCCUUUUUCUUUUUGUUGUAUUCUAUCUAGUAAUCUUUUGUGUUUUGUUGUUUGGACAUUUGUCACAGUGCAAAUUCUGUAGAGAGUGUGGAAGGUGGAAUCAGAAAGAAAAGGGAGGGGAAGGAGAAAAAAUGGAGUUGCUUCUGAAUAAAGCCUUAGUUAAACCAGGAUAAUAUUUCUUCUUGUCUAUAAGGGAAGCAAUUAUAAAAUACUUUUCUAAGAGAAACAACUCCUUUUUGGAUUUAUAUUGUGAUAUAUCACAUGGCUCUGUGAAGUUAAGUCUUGCUCCUUGUUUAAAUUUAUAGUUUAGUUUGUAGAUACGAAAUUAAAAAAAGACUCCUUACUCUUUCCUUCUAAAAGGAAUUGCUUAAAGACUGCAUAAUUAACACUUCUGGUUGGAUUUAUAUCCUGAUUCAUAUCAUAAGGUUUUAGCACAGAUAAAUCUUGCUCUUUGUUUAGCAA